rnacentral:lncRNA from 1 species
UCCCAGCUACUCGGGAGGCUGAGGCAGGAGAAUGGUGUGAACUUGGGAGCGGAGCUUGCAGUGAGCCGAGAUCGCACCACUGCACUCCAUCCUGGGGGACAGAGAGAGACUCUGUCUCAAAAAAAAAAGACUCCAAGGGAAAGCUGCCUGGGUCGUGACCUGGCACGUCCAAGUCGCUGCUUAGGCUUGCAAGGGGGUCCAGACCAGGCUGUGGAUGGGAAAUGGGAGGCUGGGGGAGGAUGGAGGCUGAGCAGUGGCUGGAUGUUGGGGUGCCCUGUUGAGGGGCAGCUGGCAGCAGCCACGGACACAGGGGUGGGUGCAAAGACACUGAGUUUCUGUUCCAGGAGGAAGGGGGGCCAGCUGGCAGAGGAGAGAUCACCCUGGGCAAUUUGGUGGUGCCUGGGGUGCACACUUCCCCAGAGGCAGCAGGAGGAGGAGCUGGAUACACCCUUCCCUGGGCUUGGAGGAGAGCACGUUCCCUCCCAGCUCCCACCUGGCAUCCAGGAGGGCCCGGCCUGGGGUCAGGGCACAUGGGGCCCUCCUGCCCUGGGACUGGGCAGCUCCCUGGGGCAUUCCCAGCCAGCAGCAUCAGGAAGGUUACAGGAGACCCAGACAUGCUGCUCCCUAGAGAGGGCUCCUGACAAAGAUUUUUUGUGUGGUCAAACUUUAGUUAACUUCCUGAAUCUUCUGGUAGGCCCAUUGGCCCACUUCCUUGUAAAAUGCAGUUUUAGCAAAGAAUCUGGCUAAGUCAGUUUAGCAACAAACCUUCAUCCUGGAGAUCUGAUUGGGGUCCUCAUGCUUCACCACCCUAUGGGUCUGUCUGAUUGCCCUGCCUGUCUCCAGCUAGAAUCCAGUUAGAUGGGUUUCAUCAGAAUCCCCCAACCCCUGAUGUUCCUCAGUCAUUUUCCAUCCACUGAGCCCACCCUGCUCCUUGGCACCCAUGGCAAGCCCUGUUGCAUGGUCCCUGUACCUGUAGUGCUGGUCCUGAAUAAAGCCUUCCUCACUCAGCUGUAACAAGUGUCACGGGACCAUCUUUUCUUUUCUUUUUUCUUUUUUUUUUUUUGAGAGGGAGUCUCGCUCUGUCGCCCAGGCUGGAGUGCAGUGGUGUCAUCUCGGCUCACUGCAACCUCUGACUCCCAGGUUCAAGGCGAUUCUCCUGCCUCAGCCUCCCGAGUAGCUAGGACUACAGUUGCUUGCCACCUCACCCAGCUUUUUUUUUUUUUUUUUUGUAGUUUUAGUAUUAAUGGGGUUUCACCUUGUUAGCCAGAAUAGUCUCCAUCUCCUGACCUCGUGAUCCGCUCACCUCGUCCUCCCAAAGUGCUGGGAUGACAGGCGUGAGCCACCGCGCCCGGCCUGAACCACCGCACCUGGCCUGAACCACCGCACCUGGCCAGAAUCAUCUUUUAACAGCUUCCAAACUUGGAGGUCAAACAAGGACUUUCUGGGGAAGCAAGUGGCAGGCGCAGGUUUGUGUUUAGAUGGAGGUUGCGCUGGCUGGACGGCCUAGGGAAAAUGGGUCUGACUGGAUGGAGCUGAGUGAGAAUGGUGGGAGGCCCUGCAGCCGCCGUGGAGAGAACAUGCGCGGGGGAAAGCCCCGGUCCUCCGGCUGGCGAAAUGGACCUCUGGAAGGAAUGGCCACACGGUGUGAAAUCACUGGUGUUUAUUGGCUGUGAUUCCAUCCGGAGAGAACACACGCAGGGGCCCCGAC